UGCUUGCAUGACAUACAUUUACUGCAUCAAGCUGCGUCCACUAACCCACAGCAAGCAAUACAACAAAAAUAUAAAUCGCCUAGGUUCGGCUGUGUUUCUUCGAUUGCGCCUCUAGAAAUGCCUUGUAUAUAAUAUAUCUCUAGUAUACGCUCAUAUUUAUAAAGUAAUCGUUUGUAAUAUAGUAUAAGUCAGUCAACAUUUAUCUAAAAUCAUAAAUUUGUGUAGACUGCAGUUUUGAAAUGGUGCGUUAAGUCUAAGAAAUCUAAAAGCUAAUGAUUUUUUACUUUUUUACAUCUUAUUUUGGUUAUUUAUUUUAAUUUUAUCUAAAACGGUUUUACCCGAUAUAUUGUAUAUUUCUCGUUUUAAUGAUGAAAAUUUAUUCGUAUUA
rnacentral:lncRNA from 1 species